rnacentral:rRNA from 1 species
GAUGAACGCUGGCGGCGUGCCUAAUACAUGCAAGUCGAGCGAACGGACGAGAAGCUUGCUUCUCUGAUGUUAGCGGCGGACGGGUGAGUAACACGUGGAUAACCUACCUAUAAGACUGGGAUAACUUCGGGAAACCGGAGCUAAUACCGGAUGAUAUUUUGAACCGCAUGGUUCAAAAGUGAAAGACGGUCUUGCUGUCACUUAUAGAUGGAUCCGCGCUGCAUUAGCUAGUUGGUAAGGUAACGGCUUACCAAGGCAACGAUGCAUAGCCGACCUGAGAGGGUGAUCGGCCACACUGGAACUGAGACACGGUCCAGACUCCUACGGGAGGAAGCAGUAGGGAAUCUUCCGCAAUGAGCGAAAGCCUGACGGAGCAACGCCGCGUGAGUGAUGAAGGUCUUCGGAUCGUAAAACUCUGUUAUUAGGGAAGAACAUAUGUGUAAGUAACUGUGCACAUCUUGACGGUACCUAAUCAGAAAGCCACGGCUAACUACGUGC